UUACCAGACUUACUUUUUCCUUCCAUGUUGAGUCAGUCACACCGUGUGGUCGACAUGGACUUGAUGAUCAUCAUUAAAGCUGCAAAAACUCCAUGACUUCGUCCUUGCAUGAAAGAAAAACCAAUGGUUCCAAACUUAAUGAAUCUGAGAGGUGGAAGGGUGUUGCCCAUAUGUGUUCCUGCCAUGAAGAUUAAUCAACUUAACUUAAAUUUACAAAUUUUUAAAUUUAUGUUUGAUUAUUUGAAAUGUUCAUAA